GUGGGGAAUUUUGGACAAUGGGGGCAACCCUGAUCCAGCCAUCCGGCGUGUGCGAUGAAGGCCUUCGGGUUGUAAAGCACUUUUGGCAGGGAAGAAAAGGCGCCGGCUAACACCUGGCGCUGCUGACGGUACCUGCAGAAUAAGCACCGGCUAACUACGUGCCAGCAGCCGCGGUAAUACGUAGGGUGCAAGCGUUAAUCGGAAUUACUGGGCGUAAAGCGUGCGCAGGCGGUUCGGAAAGAAAGAUGUGAAAUCCCAGGGCUUAACCUUGGAACUGCAUUUUUAACUGCCGGGCUAGAGUAUGUCAGAGGGGGGUAGAAUUCCACGUGUAGCAGUGAAAUGCGUAGAGAUGUGGAGGAAUACCGAUGGCGAAGGCAGCCCCCUGGGAUGAUACUGACGCUCAUGCACGAAAGCGUGGGGAGCAAACAGGAUUAGAAACCCCGGUAGUCC
rnacentral:rRNA from 1 species